rnacentral:rRNA from 1 species
GAUGAACGCUGGCGGCGUGCCUAAUACAUGCAAGUCGAGCGAACAGACGAGGAGCUUGCUCCUCUGACGUUAGCGGCGGACGGGUGAGUAACACGUGGAUAACCUACCUAUAAGACUGGGAUAACUUCGGGAAACCGGAGCUAAUACCGGAUAAUAUAUUGAACCGCAUGGUUCAAUAGUGAAAGACGGUUUUGCUGUCACUUAUAGAUGGAUCCGCGCCGCAUUAGCUAGUUGGUAAGGUAACGGCUUACCAAGGCAACGAUGCGUAGCCGACCUGAGAGGGUGAUCGGCCACACUGGAACUGAGACACGGUCCAGACUACUACGGGAGGCAGCAGUAGGGAAUCUUCCGCAAUGGGCGAAAGCUUGACGGAGCAACGCCGCGUGAGUGAUGAAGGUCUUCGGAUCGUAAAACUCUGUUAUUAGGGAAGAACAAAUGUGUAAGUAACUAUGCACGUCUUGACGGUACCUAAUCAGAAAGCCACGGCUAACUACGUG